rnacentral:misc_RNA from 1 species
AACGCACAUUGCGCCCCCUGGUAUUCCGGGGGGCAUGCCUGUCCGAGCGUCAUUGCUGCCCUCAAGCACGGCUUGUGUGUUGGGCCCCCGCCCCCCGGCUCCCGGGGGGCGGGCCCGAAAGGCAGCGGCGGCACCGCGUCCGGUCCUCGAGCGUAUGGGGCUUCGUCACCCGCUCGUGUAGGCCCGGCCGGCGCCAGCCGACACCCAUCAAUCUUACCCAGGUUGACCUCGGAUCAGGUAGGGAUACCCGCUGAACUUAA